ensembl:lncRNA
AAAAGCAUGCUUUGGUAGGGUAUACCAAGUCAGUGAUUCUCAUGCUUGUGUCUGUGUUUGUAGCACUGCUAAGGUAAAGAGACGGCCGAGCCCUACUGACCUGGCCAUGGGGAAUAGUCAGCUGACUGAUGCCCCGUCUCAGAGUGACAGCCAUAAUAACCUCCAGGUUGAGAUGUCCAGUCUGGCUAAAAAGAAGGUGAAGUCAGUGAGAGACAUGAGAGAUGUGCGCUUCCCUGGACUUCCUGUGUUCGGCCACCAGAUGGAGCUGAAGUUUACAGAUGCAAAGCACUUGAGGAAGGAGCUGAAGAGCAGAGGAAGAGAAGAAGACUCCAGAAUACCAUCAUUGCCGUCAUCCGAUUUCACUGACCACGGAAAUAAGUAGGUAAGAUUCUGACAAAUAUUUGUCAAGCGAUGCAUAGGUACAGACAAGUAUUAUAUAAACUGUUGUUGUUAUUAACUCUCUAGGAGGCCUAACUCAGUUAAGGACUAUGUCAACGUUAUUCAGGACAAUUAUUUCUUAAUUGAAUGUUUUUUCUUCAGGUUUUGGAGGGAACAGUACUACCAUUGAGAGUUGAUCUGAAUUCUUAACUGGGUCCUGGCACAGGAUGGUUUAUGUCCCUAAACAACAUUUGACUGAAUUUAAUAAAAAGAAUAACAAUAAAUGUUUUAGACACACUCGGUUUGUGUGAUAACAGAGUAUCUUUAACUUCAACAGUUAGAAUAACGUAUUUUUUUGUUCCACUUUUCAGUAUUUUAUCCACCAUAUCCCUCACUGUGCCCCACCAACCAUUCAAAAAGAAAGAUAUUGAAAUUAAAGAUACCCCCCCAGACUGUUGUUGAGAUUCAAUUGGCACAUCCGCAUUUGCAAAAUGCGGAUGUGCCAAUUGAAACGCCCCAUAAUUAGAUUUGCGAUGAUUGUACAUCCGCUAAUAAAAGUCAGACCAAGACAUAAAACCUCAACGUCAAUAUGGAGUCAACAUACAAGUGUAAGUAAAACCGAAUGUAAAUAAGUUAGAAAUUGUGCUACUAAUGCACAAACAUGUUUCAUAAAGUAAUGAUGUUUUUGUUUGGUUAGCUUUCGGAAAUGUUCCUUCAGAAAUAGCUUGGCAGGCUAACUUUAUUUAGCUAAUUCAUUUGCUAGCUAUCACAGUAGGUGAUAAUUAAGUAGGUGUAGGUGUAUAAGUAGGUGUAUAUUAAUAAUUAUAUAGUUAAUAUAAGUAGACGUGCAAUCAUAAUUGACUGUAGAGCAUAUAAAGCACCCACAAGCUACCAGUGGCUGAAAACACAAUCAUCGCGGGAUGAAUGCAAGUGGAUACUCGUCAGACGUCAUGAUACAUCAGAAGUGUCUACUUAAUUUGAUGGUUGAGGAGAUAGGGUGUGUCUUUUAAGUGCUUGGAAUGCAGGCAAUGUGUCACGCCUGCUCCCGCUCCCCCUCUGGCACUUGAGGGCGCCAGGCGGCCCAUCGUUACGCACACCUGUCACCAUUGUUACGUGCAUCAGCGCUUCAUGGGACUCACCUGGACUCUACUUUAUUGAUUGCCUCCGCAGUGUUUGCAUUACUGUCGUUUUGUUCCCCUUGUCCAGACGCUGUCCUUGGUUUGUUUCAUGUGUUAUUUAACUCCCUGUACUUGCUUGUCCUCACACAGUGAAAUAGUAUAGUUUUCUGCUAACAAAGUCACACAACUACAGAGGACAAACGGGUACACAAUAGACCUUUCAAUUAUUUUUACUCAAGAUUUAAAAUGCACCUUCCCCAAUGGUAAAAAUAUUUUCACAUGUACUGUAAUAAAUAAACCAAGCAUACAGACUUUGGGCACGUCAAUAUCAUUGUUUUCAACACCACAAUAGACAGUCAAUCUCGACAAAUGGAAAAAAACAUCCCUCCCUACCUUGUAGGCUUACCCAGUAUCAAAGGCUUGGCUUGGGAAUUCAAAUGUCAUUAAACAUUUGGGUGUUUUGUAAUAGAUGUCUCUUUCUAUUCACCAAUUGGCCACUGCACAGUUUAGAUUGAUUUUUGUCAGUUAAACAUAUAUACAAGCACAAAGAUUGUUUUAAAGUGACUUGAUUGCACAAUCAAGUCCGAGACUUGCUAUUGUGGUCCAUGUUUUUACAUAAAUACAUAUUAGGUUAAUUCGGGAAAGAAUUCAGACCCCUUCACUUUCUCCACAUUGUUAUGUUAGUCUUAUUCUAAAAUUGAUUAAAUUGUUUUUUCCCCCUAAAUCAAUCUACACACAAUAUCCCAUAAUGACAAAGCAAAAGCAGG